rnacentral:lncRNA from 1 species
AUGGUGGCCUCCCUUGUAAAGCCAGGCUUGCCUGGGCAGUCACGGCUCCAGCGUUCAGGAUUCACGAUGCUAGUCAGCAACUGUGCAAACGGGGAGAAGGCUGGCAAGAUACACAGCAGCUGUAACCUGGAACCACCACUAUGCAGACCCCACAGAUACAGAUGGACAACUGUACAAUGUUCUACCUCUAGUCCCAGACUCUGA